rnacentral:rRNA from 1 species
GGCGACCGGCGCACGGGUGAGUAACACGUAUCCAACCUGCCGUCUACUCUUGGACAGCCUUCUGAAAGGAAGAUUAAUACAAGAUGGCAUCAUGAGUCCGCAUGUUCACAUGAUUAAAGGUAUUCCGGUAGACGAUGGGGAUGCGUUCCAUUAGAUAGUAGGCGGGGUAACGGCCCACCUAGUCUUCGAUGGAUAGGGGUUCUGAGAGGAAGGUCCCCCACAUUGGAACUGAGACACGGUCCAAACUCCUACGGGAGGCAGCAGUGAGGAAUAUUGGUCAAUGGGCGAGAGCCUGAACCAGCCAAGUAGCGUGAAGGAUGACUGCCCUAUGGGUUGUAAACUUCUUUUAUAAAGGAAUAAACCCUCCCACGUGUGGGAGCUUGUAUGUACCUUAUGAAUAAGCAUCGGCUAACUCCGUGCCAGCAGCCGCGGUAAUACGGAGGAUGCGAGCGUUAUCCGGAUUUAUUGGGUUUAAAGGGAGCGCAGACGGGUCGUUAAGUCAGCUGUGAAAGUUUGGGGCUCAACCUUAAAAUUGCAGUUGAUACUGGCGUCCUUGAGUGCGGUUGAGGUGUGCGGAAUUCGUGGUGUAGCGGUGAAAUGCUUAGAUAUCACGAAGAACUCCGAUUGCGAAGGCAGCA